rnacentral:rRNA from 1 species
ACCCGCACAAGCGGUGGAUGAUGUGGUUUAAUUCGAUGCAACGACGAAAACCUUACCUACCCUUGACAUGUCAAGAAUUUUGCAGAGAUGUGAAAGUGCUCGAAAGAGAACUUGAACACAGGUGCUGCAUGGCCGUCGUCAGCUCGUGUCGUGAGAUGUUGGGUUAAGUCCCGCAACGAGCGCAACCCUUGUCAUUAGUUGCUACCGCAAGGAGCACUCUAAUGAGACUGCCGGUGACAAACCGGAGGAAGGUGGGGAUGACGUCAGGUCCUCAUGGCCCUUAUGGGUAGGGCUACACACGUCAUACAAUGGCCGGUACAGAGGGCUGCCAACCCGCGAGGGGGAACCAAUCCCAGAAAACCGGUCGUAGUCCGGAUCGUAGUCUGCAACUCGACUGCGUGAAGUCGGAAUCGCUAGUAAUCGCGGAUCAGCUUGCCGCGGUGAAUACGUUCCCGGGUCUU